GUAAGACUGGGAUAACUCCGGGAAACCGGGGCUAAUACCGGAUGGUUGUUUGAACCGCAUGGUUCAAACAUAAAAGGUGGCUUCGGCUACCACUUACAGAUGGACCCGCGGCGCAUUAGCUAGUUGGUGAGGUAACGGCUCACCAAGGCAACGAUGCGUAGCCGACCUGAGAGGGUGAUCGGCCACACUGGGACUGAGACACGGCCCAGACUCCUACGGGAGGCAGCAGUAGGGAAUCUUCCGCAAUGGACGAAAGUCUGACGGAGCAACGCCGCGUGAGUGAUGAAGGUUUUCGGAUCGUAAAGCCCUGUUGUUAGGGAAGAACAAGUACCGUUCGAAUAGGGCGGUACCUUGACGGUACCUAACCAGAAAGCCACGGCUAACUACGUGCCAGCAGCCGCGGUAAUACGUAGGUGGCAAGCGUUGUCCGGAAUUAUUGGGCGUAAAGGGCUCGCAGGCGGUUUCUUAAGUCUGAUGUGAAAGCCCCCGGCUCAACCGGGGAGGGUCAUUGGAAACUGGGGAACUUGAGUGCAGAAGAGGAGAGUGGAAUUCCACGUGUAGCGGUGAAAUGCGUAGAGAUGUGGAGGAACACCAGUGGCGAAGGCGACUCUCUGGUCUGUAACUGACGCUGAGGAGCGAAAGCGUGGGGAGCGAACAGGAUUAGAUACCCUGGUAGUCCACGCCGUAAACGAUGAGUGCUAAGUGUUAGGGGGUUUCCGCCCCUUAGUGCUGCAGCUAACGCAUUAAGCACUCCGCCUGGGGAGUACGGUCGCAAGACUGAAACUCAAAGGAAUUGACGGGGGCCCGCACAAGCGGUGGAGCA
rnacentral:rRNA from 1 species